rnacentral:rRNA from 1 species
UGCCAGCAGCCGCGGUUAUACGGAGGGUGCAAGCGUUAUCCGGAAUUACUGGGUUUAAAGGGUGCGUAGGCGGCGGCAUAAGUCAGAAGUGAAAGUUGGCAGCUUAACUGCAAAAUUGCUUUUGAUACUGUGUUGCUUGAAUCACGUUGAGGCUGGCAGAAUGUGGCAUGUAGCGGUGAAAUGCUUAGGUAUGCCAUAGAACACCAAUUGCGAAGGCAGCUGGCUAGACGUGUAUUGACGCUGAGGCACGAAAGCUUGGGGAGCGAACAGGAUUAGAUA